rnacentral:misc_RNA from 1 species
UUAAGUUCAGCGGGUAUCCCUACCUGAUCCGAGGUCAACCAGUUAUAAAGAGUUAUGGCGGGCGUCUCCCGGGACCCUAUAGCGAGAAAAUUACUACGCUUAGAGCCCGGCAGCACCGCCACUGAGUUUAAGGGCCGCCAAAUGGCGAACCCCAACACCAAGACGAGCUUGAUUUGGUACUAAUGACGCUCGAACAGGCA